rnacentral:lncRNA from 12 species
GGUUGCAUGACUGACUCACUAAUAAAAUUAGGAAGAGAACUUAACAGGAAUGGAUAGCUUAAAGGUGGGCAUGUUUAUUCUUCAAUUCUUCCUCUCUCUUGAAAUGCUGAAUCAAUUCUUAGAGCUCCAGUGACCUUUUUAUCCAAGAAGUGAAUCUCAAUCUCUCCACAGGUGUUCUGUUGUUGGAUGACAGAUCAGAAAGACAAGAAAUCUGAAUGCCUGAUACACAAAGGAGACACCAAACAUUCCACAGACUAUGUUCCUCUUGAGGUCUGUGUAAGCAGUACAUGUAAAUGUUUCAAUUCUUGUUACUUUGUUUUUAUUCAUUAAACACAGUCUAAAUUAAUUAUUACUGAUUUUUUCCUUCCCAGAUCCAUGCCCCCAACAGCUUCUAUUAAUUUUCUCAAUCCAAGAAGAAGAAGAAGCAUAUUUCAAAGUUCAGAGAGGAAGGCUUAUCUAACAGACUGGCCAGUGAUGGAAUGGAUGCUUCACAGAUAUUUCAAGCAGGCUACAAGAAUCCUCCCAGUUGAGUCCUACUACAAAUCCAUCAUUGAUCCUGGAUCCAGGCUACAGCUGGCAAAGGAGAGGAAAUACAGAGUUCAAAAUAAGCCCACCUUGUACCCAAGAGGCAAUGUUGUAGUGAAGAAAAUUAAUGUCAUUGAGAAUAAUAUGCUGAAGUUAGCAUGAGUCCAAACUCAUUUUAUGACUUCAACCUUCAUGUCCAAAUGGAAAGAAAAGAUACAUGGACUUACUGCUCAGCAGUAUCAAGUAAGUACUGUACAUUGAGUUGUAUGUCUAAGAUGUAAGAUAUAAGAAAUUUCUGGAAUAAGAGUCACUGUUUAGUGUUUAUUAUUGGGAAAUUAUUGGGACAAAGUAGCUAAAGCAGUCCUUGGAAAAUCUGGUGAGCAGUGCUACCAUAUUGUUGAUGAAAGAGAUUCAGAGGGGUUGAUAUAUCUUUACCAUGACACUAC